UACAGAGGGUGCAAGCGUUAAUCGGAAUUAUUGGGCGUAAAGCGCACGUAGGCGGCUUUGCAAGUCGGAUGUGAAAUCCCUCGGCUUAACCAAGGAAGUGCAUCCGAAACUGCAGAGCUUGAGUACUUAAGAGGAUCGCGGAAUUCCCGGUGUAGAGGUGAAAUUCGUAGAUAUCGGGAGGAACACCAGUGGCGAAGGCGGCGAUCUGGGAAGAUACUGACGCUGAGGUGCGAAAGCGUGGGGAGCAAACAGG
rnacentral:rRNA from 1 species